UCGCGUCUGCUGUGAAAUCCCGAGGCUCAACCUCGGGCCUGCAGUGGGUACGGGCAGACUAGAGUGCGGUAGGGGAGAUUGGAAUUCCUGGUGUAGCGGUGGAAUGCGCAGAUAUCAGGAGGAACACCGAUGGCGAAGGCAGAUCUCUGGGCCGUAACUGACGCUGAGGAGCGAAAGGGUGGGGAGCAAACAGGCUUAGAUACCCUGGUAGUCCACCCCGUAAACGUUGGGAACUAGUUGUGGGGUCCAUUCCACGGAUUCCGUGACGCAGCUAACGCAUUAAGUUCCCCGCCUGGGGAGUACGGCCGCAAGGCUAAAACUCAAAGGAAUUGACGGGGACCCGCACAAGCGGCGGAGCAUGCGGAUUAAUUCGAUGCAACGCGAAGAACCUUACCAAGGCUUGACAUAUACGAGAACGGGCCAGAAAUGGUCAACUCUUUGGACACUCGUAAACAGGUGGUGCAUGGUUGUCGUCAGCUCGUGUCGUGAGAUGUUGGGUUAAGUCCCGCAACGAGCGCAACCCUCGUUCUAUGUUGCCAGCACGUAAUGGUGGGAACUCAUGGGAUACUGCCGGGGUCAACUCGGAGGAAGGUGGGGAUGACGUCAAAUCAUCAUGCCCCUUAUGUCUUGGGCUUCACGCAUGCUACAAUGGCCGGUACAAAGGGCUGCAAUACCGUGAGGUGGAGCGAAUCCCAAAAAGCCGGUCCCAGUUCGGAUUGAGGUCUGCAACUCGACCUCAUGAAGUCGGAGUCGCUAG
rnacentral:rRNA from 1 species